UGUAUGAGCAUGCGUCCGCAUGUGUACGCAUAAGCCUGCGCAUGUGAGAAUCCUGUCAGCUUGCAGUCAUCUGACAUCAUGUUCCAAAAGGGAUAUUUCCACGGGCCCAGGGAAGGGAAGGGAGUAGGCACAGGUUGUUACCAUGACUUAUAGAUUUCUCUGCAUUUUCCGACAGCGCUGAAAUAUGGGAGAGGAACAGAACAGUAACUCAUUCUGGGAAACAGAAUAGUACAGGCAGAGAUGAAAACAUGAACACUGAGGAGAGGAGAGGAGAAGAGGCAAGAGAGGAGAGGAGAGGAGACGAGACGAGAGGAGACGAGAGGAGAAGAGACAAGAGAGGAGAGGAGAAGAGAAGAGAGAAGAGGAGAAGAGGAGAGAAGAGGAGAAGAGAAAAAUAAAACCCACCACUGGAUGACAUAGAAGGUGAGAUGGAUGGAUCCUCUCAGAAGCCUUUCCAUGAUCUCAGUCUCCUCUCUCUUCCUAUCGUUAACACAACAACCAGCAGCAACACACCCUUGCGAUGUUCAUAGGAAACCAAGAGAGGCAGAUGUAGUGUCAGCCUACAUACAGUAUGUAAAAGCCCAGCUGUCUACCGGUACAGCAACACGCUGCGUUGUGGCCUGCUGCCAUUCUACACAGAGUGAAACCACACUGACAGCCACCACAGUGGAUAACAGCUAAUGAAACACCCAGAGAGAGAGAGAGAGAGAGAGCUCACAGGGGUAGGCCAAGACAUACAUCUGCAAUGUAAAGGCAACUACUAUUGUAGUUGCCUUUACCUCUCCUCUCCCAUUCACGUGCAAAUUAGUGUUUAAUCUCAGUGCCUUAAUAGAGAACCAUGGCAACAGAGACAGUCCUAAUGAAGCAGAGGCUCAGGUUAAGAGCUGCCUGCAUGUUGCUACCACUCACAUUCAAUCAGCAUUUACAUACAUAUACACAUUCACUCAAAAACACACAUGCACUCACACACGUUCUAUAGCAGCUUAUAAAUCCCUUAGCUUUGUUCAUUGUCAUGUGACUAUGACUCUAGGUUCUGCCUCUCUUAUUUCCAGCCAUAUUAAAGCUAUUAGGAGAACACAUGUUCCAGACCAGACCUCCUACUGCCAGACAAGACCCAGACGGCACUGCAGACUGAUGAAAACUACUGCCAGACAAGACCCAGACGGCACUGCAGGCUGAUGAAAACUACUGCCAGACAAGACCCAGACGGCACUACAGACUGAUGAAAACUACUGCCAGACAAGACCCAGACGGCACUGCAGGCUGAUGAAAACUACUGCCAGACAAGACCCAGACGGCACUGCAGACUGAUGAAAACUACUGCCAGACAAGACCCAGACGGCACUACAGACUGAUGAAAACUACUGCCAGACAAGACCCAGACGGCACUGCAGGCUGAUGAAAACUACUGCCAGACAAGACCCAGACGGCACUGCAGACUGAUGAAAACUACUGCCAGACAAGACCCAGACGGCACUGCAGGCUGAUGAAAACUACUGCCAGACAAGACCCAGACGGCACUGCAGGCUGAUGAAAACUACUGCCAGACAAGACCCAGACGGCACUGCAGACUGAUGAAAACUACUGCCAGACACAUACAGGCUUUUACUGUCAUGCAUGACAAUUAUACAAAGAGAGAGUCACCCACACACAGAGAGAACGAGAUAGAAAGAGAGAGAGGGAGAAAGAGAGAGAGAGAGAUAGAAAGAGAGAGAGAGAAAUAAAGAGAGAGUGAGAGAAAGAGAGAGAGAGAAAGAGAGAGGGAGAGGGAGAAAGAGAGAGAGAGAGAGAGAGAGCGAGAGAAAGAGAGAGAGAGAGAGAGAGAGAGAGAAAGAGAGAGGGAGAGGGAGAAAGAGAGAAAAGAGAGAGAGAGAGAGAGAGAGCGAGAGAAAAGAGAGAGAGAGAGAGAGAGGGAGAGGGAAGAAAGAGAGAAAGAGAGAGAGGAGAAGCGAGAGAAAGAGAGAGA
ensembl:lncRNA